rnacentral:rRNA from 1 species
AAGGAUUCCCUCAGUAACGGCGAGUGAAGCGGGAAUAGCUCAAAUUUGAAAUCUCCGACGCUUGCGUCGGCGAAUUGUAGUUGCGAGAAGCACUUUCUAGGCGGAUCGGUCGUGCCUAAGUUGCUUGGAACAGUACGUCAUAGAGGGUGACAACCCCGUCUGUGGCUCGGCCGGCCGCUCACGAUGUGCUUUCGAAGAGUCGGGUUGUUUGGGAAUGCAGCCCAAAAAUGGUGGUAAACUCCAUCUAAAGCUAAAUACUGACGUGAGACCGAUAGCGAACAAGUACCGUGAGGGAAAGAUGAAAAGAACUUUGAAAAGAGAGUUAAAAAGUACGUGAAACCGUUUGAAGGGAAACGAAUGGACUCAGCAAUGCGCCCUUUGAGAUUCAGCCGGGCGGUUGUGGCGGUCCGGGGCUUGCGGAUCUGAAUGGACCGCGGUCUCGGGCCCGUCGCUUCCGACCGUCGCACUUCUCUUGGACGCGAGUCAACGUCGGUUGGGACUGGGCCUCAAAGGUUCCGGGAAGGUAGGUCCGGACGCUCGCGUUCGGACUGUUACAGCCCGGUUCUCUCGCGGCUCGGGCCCGACCGAGGCGGAUGCAGCACAUGCCUCUUCUGGCUAGGGUCCCGUCCUUCCGGCCGGUUGUCGAAUGCGGUGGACUGCUUGCAGUGCUCUGCGACUGCUGCCGGUCGUUGGGGUGGUGAUCUCGUACCAUGUGCUAAGGACGUUGGCGGUCAUAUGGGUCCAUCCGACCCGUCUUGAAACACGGACCAAGGAGUCUAACAUGUGCGCGAGUCUUAGGGUGCUUGAAACCCAGAGGCAGAAUGAAAGUGAAGACGGCUUCGGCCGCUGAGGCGAGAUUCCGACUCUCGUAGCCGGACGCAUCGUUGACCGACCUAUUCUACUCUUAGGAAGGUUUGAGUAAGAGCGUGUCUGUUGGGACCCGAAAGAUGGUGAACUAUGCCUGAAUAGGGUGAAGCCAGAGGAAACU